GACGAACGCUGGCGGCGUGCUUAACACAUGCAAGUCGAACGGAGCGAAUGAAAGCUUGCUUUUAUGAGCUUAGUGGCAAACGGGUGAGUAACACGUAGACAACCUGCCGACAGGAUGGGGACAACAUUCCGAAAGGAAUGCUAAUACCGAAUGAAGCGGAGGAGAGGCAUCUCUCUUCCGUGAAAGAUGGCCUCUUUUUAUGCUAUCACCUGUUGAUGGGUCUGCGUCUGAUUAGCUGGUUGGUGAGGUAACGGCUCACCAAGGCGACGAUCAGUAGCCGGUCUGAGAGGAUGAACGGCCACAUUGGGACUGAGACACGGCCCAGACUCCUACGGGAGGCAGCAGUGGGGAAUCUUCCGCAAUGGGCGCAAGCCUGACGGAGCAACGCCGCGUGAGUGAAGAAGGUCUUCGGAUCGUAAAGCUCUGUUGACGGGGACGAACGUGCGGAGUGCGAAUAGCGCUUUG
rnacentral:rRNA from 1 species